CUCGAAGGAGCCCAGCAGCUCUGGCCGCUCGAGCUGUAGCCGGGCCCAGAGCGUCCUCACGGCGCGCUGCCUGCACCGGGCAACAGGGGAGUCCCCGGGGCCUCGCACAUCUGACGACUCGAAGGUUUCCUCGGGAGUUGGCAAGAAGGUCGCUCCCCCAGCCGGUUGCAGGCCCACAAACCUCCCUGGGACCACGGAAGAGAUUAGAGACCGCUGUGCCACCCUGGCCUUCCAGUGCCCACCCCUCCGCCCACCACCACUGGCACCACACACCACCGCCACCCCACCCUGGCGCACACGUCCUGCCCGCUCCCAGGCCCGGUUUCCUGUUUUUGUUCCUUCUGGUCCUACUGGCCUGGGAAUGGGUGGCGACAGCGGGGUCCCAGCCCCACCUGGGUCUGUCGAGGGCGAGGGGGAGCAUGGGGAAGGUCAGGUCACACAUGGGGCAGCAGGACCCCCUGGUGCCUAUGUGCAGAAGCCGGGAGGGUCAGGGGAGGGAGGCCUGGCUCACCCAGGCCCAGACAGAACUCUCGGGCAGUGAGGAAGCCAGCGUGGGCCUGGUCCAGGCUCUCGAAUACGGCCUCCAGCUGCUCCGGGGUCAGGCGCAGAUCACUCUGCAGGCCCUGACCAGGCAGAGAGCAGGUGAGCGCUGGGCCAGCCCUGGUGGCUGGGUCCCGAGCCCGGGGCUCACCUGCAGGUCCUGCCGGGUGAUGAAGCCCUUGGCCUCCUUGUCGCACAGCAAAAAGAGCUCGUGGGCUUGCUGCAGCACUGCUCCACCAUGUCCUGCAGAGGGCUCCUCCCCCUCUUCCUCCUCCUGGGCCUCCACAGCCCCGGGCUUCCCAGGGCUGGCCAUGGGGACUGCGGAGCCAAGGGAGGGCGGAAGAAAUGGGGGUGGGGUGCAAGUGCGGGUCAGGCCUUCCUACUCCAGCUGGGAAGAAGGUGUGGUGGAGGUGGGGUAGGGUGUGCUGCAGGCUUGGGCAAUCACAGGCCGGGUCCGGUGACACAGCUGGGGACUGACCGGUGGGCUGGAGGACAGCUGCAGCCUAGGGUGAAGCAGUGCAGGGCGAGAGCUGGGACAUCUGUCUCCAGGGCUGAUUGCAGGAGCCCUUGUGAGGGGCAGACUGGUGCCUGGCCGAAAGGGGAGAAACCUUGGGGUGAGAGAGGCCCCACCACAUCCUGGAGCUUUAGGGCCCCAAGCUGGGCCUGACCAGGAAGAAGGCCUGGGCCAGUCCUGGUCGGGUCUUCCUCCCUUGGCCAGGCCUGUGAUAUACCCUGGCGUCCUGACAGCUGGCAGUCGAGGUGAACUCCUCCCACCUGGCUCCCAGGCCCCACAGUGCAGGUGCAAGUUUCCAGCCUUGGGCCAGUGCUGGGUGCCUCCAGCAGCCCUUAUCAGCACCCCUAGAUUCUGGACUUACCACCUCCUCCCCUGACUUGUCCCUCCAGUCUAGUCCCGGAUCCUCCUGCGCCUCCUCCACAUCCUCCAAUGAGCCCCACCCAUAGUCACACGCCUCUGCCAUUGCCACUGCCUUCCGACCCUGGCUUUCCCAGAGCUACACCCAUCCCACUAGGACUCAGAAGGGGCAAUCUGGAGAGAGCAGGUCUCGGCACCAGCAGGCCAGAGGAGGGGCAGGCAGGACCGGUGGCUGCCCUGCUCUGCCUCUUACCCGCUGGUGGCUCUCGGGCUCCCGGGACCCAGGUCCCCCCUGCAGGAAGCCGAGCGGUGGCCAAAGCCAGGAAGGGAAGACCAAGGUCGACUCCUUGCACCUUGGCCACCAGCCUGGGCCACCGGCGGUCCCUGGCUGAGGAGAGGCAUCAGCCCAGUGGGGACUAGGGCUACAGUGCCUACCUGCCAGCCGAGCUGCUGCACCUGCACUGCUCUUGGGAAGCACACGCCCCGCCCCACUGGACCCCGCCCCCCCUCUCUGGCAGCCCAAGUGGCUGUCCUGGCAGAUCCGGAGGGGCAGUGAUGAACCGAGACCCCCACCCCCCAACCAGGGACCCUCUGCCGCAGGAUUUCAGCUUCUGGCUUCAGACACCAGCCACCCCUUCCCCAAAACACCCCGAGUCCUCCAGGCUGCAGGUGCCAAAAGGUGCACAGGAAAAAGCCAGCUGGAAAUAGACCAGAUGCCUUCAGUGAUUAGAGCUGAGAGACUUCCUUCUCCACACUUCCAAUUCUGUUUGGUCUAAUUUCUAAACAGUACAAUCUUACCCUAGAAAGUGCCCCUAGCAGCACUAAGCCCCAAGCCCCUGUGUGACCGGAGUGAGCGGGCCAGAGAGGUCACCUUGGAGGCACUCCCUUUGGAGGCACAGCUGGGAGCCCUCCUGCUGGGAUGGGGCUCCCUCCCCCGUCCUGGGGGCCCCUCCUCUACCCAGCCCACACCCAAACCCACCUGGACACUGGCCUGCUUCCCACCGCCGGCAUCAGCCGUGGUGCCGGUGUUGCCUCUGCUCAGGCAGAACCACAACAGACAGGGGCGUACAGGACAGGACCUGGAGAUGGGGGAAACUUGCACCAGGGCAAGACCUGCCCGGCCGGCUCAUCCAGUCCUGCUGUCCCAGCUCCCACAACCGUUAUUGUUGGCUGGGGGUGCCACAACAGCACCCCACACCUCCCGGGGGGAGGGGCGGGCAGGGGCUGAGCCUGUGGCUGGCACCAGCACCCGUCACCCACAGGUCUUUACCACUCCUACUGUCUCCUUCUGGCAAAGAACUCCAGGAAACUGUCCUGGGACAGGCACACUGCCCUUGGCUAGCAGUUCCUUGGUCCUGGAGCCCAACCCCCACUAUUAGGUUCUGGUAGCGGACAGUGACAGACAUGGGGGUGGGUGGGUAGGAAGGCACAUUCCCCCACCCGCUGCAGCCUGGCCACAGGGAAGAGCAAGCACAGAACUUUGUGCAGUGGCCAUGGUGACGUGGGGUAGACACUCCCAAGUCCCCAGCCCUCAGCUGCAGGAGGCCCCUCCAGUGUCCAGCCCUGAAGUGCACCCACGCCCACUGUGUCAUUGUGUGGUGACACCUUUUGUAAACACUAGUUCUUUUUCCCAAAUAUUUCUAUUGGCCCUUGGAAAGUUGUGCACAAGAGUCAGCCAGGUGGCCUCAGGGCAAAGUGGGGGACAGACAGUUGUGUCCUCAUCAAGCAGAGGGCACGGGGAGAAACUCAGCCCAGCUGAGCUGGCAAGCCCCAGAUGCCAGGCCCAGAAGUACAACCUGGCAGACCUGACAAGCAGUCGCAGAGACACUGACCAGCUGGGAGGAGCAGGCUCUGAACACCAUAUCCCCAAGCAAAGCAGGGCAGUCACAUGGACAUGAAAAAGGCAACAAGAGCACAAUGGUGCCUGCAUGCUUGCCAUCCCAGCACUCUGGGAGGCCAAGGCAGGAAAAUCACAAGUUCAAGCCCAGCCUAGGCAACACAGGGACUUAGCAAAACCCUGACUCCAAAAAAAGAAAAAAUAAAGGGGCUGAGGAUGUAGCUCAUCGUGAAGGCCCUAGGUUCACUCCCUGGUACAGUCCCCCCAGAAGUAAAAGAGACAAAAGUUGA